UCCUACGGGAGGCUGCAGUGGGGAAUAUUGGACAAUGGGCGCAAGCCUGAUCCAGCCAUGCCGCGUGUGUGAUGAAGGCCUUAGGGUUGUAAAGCACUUUCGCCGAUGAAGAUAAUGACUGUAGUCGGAGAAGAAGCCCCGGCUAACUUCGUGCCAGCAGCCGCGGUAAUACGAAGGGGGCAAGCGUUGUUCGGAUUUACUGGGCGUAACGCGUACGUAGGCGGAUGAUUAAGUCAGGGGUGAAAUCCCGGGGCUCAACCUCGGAACUGCCUUUGAUACUGGUCGUCUUGAGUCCGGGAGAGGUGAGUGGAACUCCUAGUGUAGAGGUGAAAUUCGUAGAUAUUAGGAAGAACACCAGUGGCGAAGGCGGCUCACUGGCCCGGAACUGACGCUGAGGUACGAAAGCGUGGGGAGCAAACAGGAUUAGAUACCCCUGUAGUC
rnacentral:rRNA from 1 species